rnacentral:tRNA from 1 species
CCCGGGUGUAGCUCAGCGGUGGAGCGCCUGUCAGCAAAGCGGGUGGCCGCAGGUUCGAGCCCUGCCUUCCGGGGC